rnacentral:rRNA from 1 species
UACGUAGGGGGCGAGCGUUGUCCGGAUUUAUUGGGCGUAAAGCGCGUGUAGGCGGCCAGAUAGGUCUGCUGUGAAAACUCGAGGCUCAACCUCGAGAUGUCGGCGGAAACCGUCUGGCUAGAGUCCGGAAGAGGAGAGUGGAAUUCCUGGUGUAGCGGUGAAAUGCGCAGAUAUCAGGAAGAACACCUAUGGCGAAGGCAGCUCUCUGGGACGGUACUGACGCUGAGACGCGAAAGCGUGGGGAGCGAACAGG